rnacentral:rRNA from 1 species
CACGUAGGCGGAUCGGAAAGUUGGGGGUGAAAUCCCGGGGCUCAACCCCGGAACGGCCUCCAAAACUAUCGGUCUAGAGUUCGAGAGAGGUGAGUGGGAUUCCGAGUGUAGAGGUGAAAUUCGUAGAUAUUCGGAGGAACACCAGUGGCGAAGGCGGCUCACUGGCUCGAUACUGACGCUGAGGUGCGAAAGUGUGGGGAGCAAACA